rnacentral:rRNA from 1 species
GACGAACGCUGGCGGCGUGCUUAACACAUGCAAGUCGAACGGAGUGGCGAACGGGUGAGUAACACGUGGGUGACCUUCCCUGCACUUCGGGAUAAGCCUGGGCAACUGGGUCUAAUACCGGAUAGUGUGGGAUGGGCCCGCGGCCGAUCAGCUUGUUGGUGGGGUAAUGGCCUACCAAGGCGGCGACGGGGCGCCGGCCUGAGCGGGUGGACGGCCACAUUGGGACUGAGAGACGGCCCAGACUCGUACGGGAGGCAGCAGUGGGGAAUAUUGCACAAGGGGCGGAAGCCUGAUGCAGGGACGCCGCGUGGGGGAUGACGGCCUUCGGGUUGUAAACGCCUUUCAGCAGCGACGCGGUAGAUGGAGAAGAAGCACCGGCUAACUACGUGCCAGCAGCCGCGGUAAUAC